GUGGGGAAUCUUCCGCAAUGGACGAAAGUCUGACGGAGCGACGCCGCGUGAGUGAAGAAGGCCUUCGGGUCGUAAAGCUCUGUCAUCAGGGACGAACGGCCGGUGGAGUGGAAAGCCACCGGAUUGACGGUACCUGAGAAGGAAGCCACGGCUAACUACGUGCCAGUAGCCGCGGUAAUACGUAGGUGGCAAGCGUUGUCCGGAAUUAUUGGGCGUAAAGCGCGCGCAGGUGGGAUCUUAAGUCCAUUUUUAAAGUUCGGAGCUCAACUCCGUGAUGGGAUGGAAACUGGGAUUCUUGAAUACCGGGGAGGAAAGCGGAAUUCCCCGUGUAGCGGUGAAAUGCGUAGAUAUGGGGAGGAACACCAGUGGCGAAGGCGGCUUUCUGGACGGUGUCUGACACUGAGGCGCGAAAGCCAGGGGAGCGAACGGGAUUAGAAACCCUGGUAGUCC
rnacentral:rRNA from 1 species